CCCUUAGAUGUCCUGGGCCGCACGCGCGUUACACUGAUGCAUUCAACGAGCUUAUAACCUUGACCGAGAGGCCUGGGCAAUCUUGUUAACGUGCAUCGUGAUGGGGAUAGAUUAUUGAAAUUAUUAAUCUUGAACGAGGAAUUCCUAGUAAACGCAGAUCAUCAAUCUGCAUUGAUUACGUCCCUGCCCUUUGUACACACCGCCCGUCGCACCUACCGAUUGGAUGGUCCGGUGAAGCCUCGGGAUUGUGGUUCUUGCCGCUUUAUUGUGGCGUGACCGCGAGAACUUGUCUAAACCUUAUCAUCUAGAGGAAGGUGAAGUCGUAACA
rnacentral:rRNA from 1 species